AGUCGAACGGAAAGGCCCUUUCGGGGGUACUCGAGUGGCGAACGGGUGAGUAACACGUGGGUGAUCUGCCCUGCACUUCGGGAUAAGCUUGGGAAACUGGGUCUAAUACCGGAUAGGACUACGGCCUGCAUGGGUUGUGGUGGAAAGCUUUUGCGGUGUGGGAUGGGCCCGCGGCCUAUCAGCUUGUUGGUGGGGUGAUGGCCUACCAAGGCGACGACGGGUAGCCGGCCUGAGAGGGUGUCCGGCCACACUGGGACUGAGAUACGGCCCAGACUCCUACGGGAGGCAGCAGUGGGGAAUAUUGCACAAUGGGCGCAAGCCUGAUGCAGCGACGCCGCGUGGGGGAUGACGGCCUUCGGGUUGUAAACCUCUUUCACCAUCGGCGAAGCCGGGGGCUUUUGUUUCCGGUGACGGUAGGUGGAGAAGAAGCACCGGCCAACUACGUGCCAGCAGCCGCGGUAAUACGUAGGGUGCGAGCGUUGUCCGGAAUUACUGGGCGUAAAGAGCUCGUAGGUGGUUUGUCGCGUUGUCCGUGAAAUUCCCUGGCUUAACUGGGGGCGUGCGGGCGAUACGGGCAGACUGGAGUACUGCAGGGGAGACUGGAAUUCCUGGUG
rnacentral:rRNA from 1 species